CCGAGUGAGGGCCCCCUGGCCCGACCUCCAACCCUUUUGUUGACCAAAUACCGUUGCCUCGGGGGCGACCCGGCCUCCGCGCCGGGCCCCCGACGGACCACACCAACGCUGUAUCCGUACGUCGGAGUACUCGAUGAAUCAAUCA
rnacentral:misc_RNA from 1 species